rnacentral:rRNA from 1 species
CACCGCGGUUAUACGAGGGGCCCAAGUUGAUAUUUUCCGGCGUAAAGAGUGGUUAUGGAACAAACAAACUAAGGCCGCACCUCUUCAAAGCUGUCAUACGCAUCCGAAGAACAGAAGCCCGACCACGAAAGUGGCUUUAAAAUACCUGACUCCACGAAAGCUGUGGCA